ensembl:lncRNA
GGUUAACUGAAAGACAUACGAUCUCUGUUUAUAACAGUUUCAUGUCCUGCAUGUUUUAAUUCAUGGCACUGUUUUUGUUUGUGUUUUUGUUAAAGGCACAUCAGAUUAAAGCCUCGCCUGGAAUAUGGAAUUGGAAAAUGAUGUGCAUAUAAACAUGUUCAGUGUGGGUUGCAACCUGAUUUUUCCAUGCACUGAUGAAGAUCUCUGGUUGUAUGAUAAAACGACUCCUCGCUUCAGCAGCAGGCCUCAGUGAGCUGUGGGGCAGACAAACUGGCUCCUGAGCGAU